rnacentral:lncRNA from 1 species
UUUUUGUUUUUUUUUUAAGAUUUUAUUUAUUUAUUCAUGAGAGAGACAGAAAGAGAGAGAGGCAGAGACACAGGCAGAGGGAGAAUCAGGCUCCAUGCAGGGAGCCCAAUGCAGGACUUGGUCUCAGGACUCCAGGAUUACACCCUGAGCUAAAGGCAGGCGCUAAACCACUAGGCCACCCAGUCAUCCUAGAAUUCAGUUUUUUUUUUUUUUCUAAAGAUUUUAUUUAUUUAUUCAUGAGAGACAGAGAGAGAGGCAGAGACACAGGCAGAGGGAGAAGCAGGCUCCUCACAGGGAGCCUGAUGUGGGACUCAAUCCCGGAACCCCAGGAUCACACCCUGAGCCAAAGACAGACCCUCAACCACCUGGAAGUCUUCUUUCCAAUCUGAUCUUUUUAGACUUUGGUUUGGAGAGGAGAGCAGAAACCGGGUGGAGACGGUGAGGAGGAGGGUGGAAAUGAAAGUCAAGAUGGAUUUUAUACAAGUGCAGCAAAUCUCCAAAACUCCCGACAUCUUUGAUCGCCAAGGAUCUCACAAGACUUGCUUAUUCUUUGGCAAGUUUGUCAAGGUUUCCAGAUCCAUCCAGAUCUUAUCAAUUGCAAAUCACAUAGGGGAAUUAAAGUGUGAAGACAGCCUGGAUUUGGUACCAUCUAAUAAAUAUUUAACGAAGUUUCAGCCCAUACAGCAACAUUCACAGUGCAGGGAGAUGCACAGCACCCAUGGAAUGUAGUCAGGUGGUACCAGGACUAAGGCAAGUAUAUUUAAGUCAAUGCCAAAUAUGCCUUGUGCCAUAACAAGUCCAAACAGAUCCUUGUGGCAUUCUGGGGAGGACAAGAUCUUAUCUGUAGGUGGUGAGAAUCAUGUUCAGGUUGCUAAAGGGAGCUGCUUUUCCAGGGAAGUUUUAUUUCCUUGGAAACAUUGCACAAGCCCUCCUGAGAGUAGAUAUUUCUUUAAAAAUUGCCUUGCUCUGGUACAUAAUUGUACUAUUUGUUUUAUUCAUAUUGUGUUUUUUCCUUCAGAUUGGAAAGAGUGGCAAUGCUUUCUUCCCCUCUGAUUAUAAAUAUAUGGUUAGGUUGUUUUUUUGUUUUUUAAAUAAAGUAUUGGGGAAAACUAUAAAGAGGCAACUAAAAAUCAUCUAUAUUUUCACCUUCCAGACAUACUUGUGGCAAACAUUUUAGUGUAUGUGCCUCUUGACUGUGACAAAAAUUUCCUGUUACCCUCAACUGCCAUUAUCCACUUUUUCCUUAGCAGUAAAUUCUACAUUUUUAGUUGGGCAUAUGGCUGCUCAGAAUAAAAUCUACAUUUGCCAGCCUCUUUGCAGGUAGGAGUAUCCACAAACUAAGUCCUGGCCAAUGAGAUGGAAGCAGAAGUCAUCUAUAUGACUUCCUGGAAGUAUGAUUAAGGGGAGAAUAUGAGUUUUUCUUUCCCUCCCCCUUCCUUCAUGCUUGCUGGAAUGAGGCCUAAUGGCUGGAGCUUCAGCAGCCAUUGUGUUUUUUAAAGAUUUUAUUUAUUUAUUCAUGAUGGGGGGUGGGGGGUGGGCAGCGACAUAGGCAGAGAGAAAAGCAGGCUUUACUUAAGGAGCCCGAUGAAGGAAUCAAUCCCAGGACUCCGGGAUCUUGCCCUGAGCCGAAGGCAAACGCUUAGCCACUGAGCCACCCAGGCGUCCCUCAGCAGCCAUUCUGAACAGUGCAGUGGAAGCUAUGUAAUGGGGAUGUGGAGCAAAAGGAUGAAAGGAGUCUGGACACCCUAUCUGCCUUUUUAUCAAAAGAGAAAUCAACUCUGAAUCCCUUUGAUUCAGUCUACAUUCACCAAGUUUGGCAGUAAAUCAAAUGUCAACUCUUGGGGGGGGAGGGGCUCUUUCCCAUCUCAGAAUCAUGCAAACGAAACAAGAUAAAAACAACAACUCAGCUUCCUAAAUACAAAAAAACUGGAAAAGGUCCUUUAGCAUUCUGUUCAAGGAUCAUUGCUGAUUUGCUCAGAGACCAAGUCCAAAAUCAUGUCCCAUCUCAGUUAGAUGGCUCUACUCUUAGCAACUAAUUCCUUUGUGUCAAGUCUGUCCAUGAGACCUGCUGCUUCCCAGGGUGUGACACAAGUGAGAGGUGUAGGUCUUGACUACAGAAACUCGACAUCUUCUGUCCUUCCAGCCUUGUUGCAAUGAAUAUGUUACUCUAUGACUGCUCAACAUUCUUGGGCUCCUUCCUUUUCCACUGUUUGGGAGCAUCCUAUCUCAUCAAUUAAUGCCUAAGACUGAGACUAGAUAAUCAGUUUCUCAGAGGCACUGCAGCCAGACCUAGACUCUGCCAAUCAGAAACUUCAGUGCCAGUCUCCCAUAGGAAGCAGAGAGCCACCCUUAGCAGCAUGGCAGCAGAAACUCUCCAUCUGGGCACCUGGGUGGUUCAGUGGUUGAGCAUCUGCCUUUGGCUCAUGUCCUGGGAUCGAGUCCCUCAACCUCAACAGGCUCCCUUUGGGGAGCCUGCUUCUCCCUCUGCCUGUGGCCUGUGUCUCUGCCUCUCUCUCUCUCUCUGUGUCUCUCAUGAAUACAUAGAUAAAAUCUUGAGAAAAAAAAAAAAA